AUUGAACGCUGGCGGAACGCUUUACACAUGCAAGUCGAACGGCAGCACGGGUGCUUGCACCUGGUGGCGGGUGGCGAACGGGUGAGUAAUACAUCGGAACGUACCCUGACGUGGGGGAUAACACAGCGAAAGUUGUGCUAAUACCGCAUACGUCCUGAGGGAGAAAGCGGGGGAUCGCAAGACCUCGCGCGUUAGGAGCGGCCGAUGGCGGAUUAGCUCGUUGGUGGGGUAAAGGCUCACCAAGGCGACGAUCCGUAGCUGGUCUGAGAGGACGACCAGCCACACUGGAACUGAGACACGGUCCAGACUCCUACGGGAGGCAGCAGUGGGGAAUUUUGGACAAGGGGCGAAAGCCUGAUCCAGCCAUUCCGCGUGAGUGAAGAAGGCCUUCGGGUUGUAAAGCUCUUUCGGCAGGAACGAAACGGUGUGGGUCAAUACCCUGCAUCAAUGACGGUACCUGAAGAAGAAGCACCGGCUAACUACGUGCCAGCAGCCGCGGUAA
rnacentral:rRNA from 1 species